rnacentral:rRNA from 1 species
GUAGGGAAUAUUGCGCAAUGGGGGAAACCCUGACGCAGCGACGCCGCGUGAGUGAUGAAGGCCUUCGGGUCGUAAAGCUCUGUUGCAGGGGAAUAAAAAAAUGAAGGUACCCUGUGAGGAAGGAUCGGCUAACUUCGUGCCAGCAGCCGCGGUAAGACGAGGGAUCCUAGCGUUGCUCGGAAUCAUUGGGCGUAAAGAGGGCGUAGGUGGCUUGGUAAGUCAGGUGUGAAAGCCCAGGGCUCAACCCUGGAAGUGCAUUUGAUACUGCUGAGCUUGAGUGUCGGAGAGGUUACCGGAAUACCUGGUGUAGUGGUGAAAUACGUAGAUAUCAGGUGGAACACCGGAGGCGAAGGCGGGUAACUGGACGAACACUGACACUGAGGCCCGAAAGCGUGGGGAUCAAACAGGAUUAGAAAACCUAGUAGUCC